rnacentral:rRNA from 1 species
GACGAACGCUGGCGGCGUGCUUAAUACAUGCAAGUCGAGCGGGGUUACUGCGACAGAUCCCUUCGGGGUGACGUUGCUUUAACCUAGCGGCGGACGGGUGAGUAACGCGUGGGUAACCUACCCUAAAGCUCGGGAUAACAGUGGGAAACCGCUGCUAAUACCGGAUGACUUUAACCUAUGGCAUCAUGGGUUAAAGAAAGAUUUAUCGCUUUAGGAUGGGCCCGCGUCCCAUUAGCUAGUUGGUGAGGUAACGGCUCACCAAGGCGACGAUGGGUAGCCGGCCUGAGAGGGUGUACGGCCACACUGGGACUGAGACACGGCCCAGACUCCUACGGGAGGCAGCAGUAGGGAAUAUUGCGCAAUGGACGGAAGUCUGACGCAGCGACGCCGCGUGAGCGAUGAAGGCCUUCGGGUCGUAAAGCUCUGUCCUUGGGGAAGAAGGUCUUCGGACUUGACGGUACCCAAGAAGAAAGCCCCGGCUAACUACGUGCCAGCAGCCCGCGGUAAUACGUAGGGGGCGAGCGUUGUCCGGAAUUACUGGGCGUAAAGGGUGCGUAGGCGGCCCUUUAAGUCAGAUGUGAAAGGCCACGGCUUAACCGUGGGAUUGCAUUUGAAACUGGAGGGCUUGAGUGUCGGAGAGGGUAGUGGAAUUCCCAGUGUAGCGGUGAAAUGCGUAGAUUUUGGGAGGAACACCAGUGGCGAAGGCGACUACCUGGACGAUAACUGACGCUGAGGCACGAAAGCUAGGGGAGCAAACAGG